rnacentral:rRNA from 1 species
UGNGGAGCCUUCCAUGCAGUCGAACGGUAACAGGUCUUCGGAUGCUGACGAGUGGCGAACGGGUGAGUAAUACAUCGGAACGUGCCCAGUCGUGGGGGAUAACUACUCGAAAGAGUAGCUAAUACCGCAUACGAUCUGAGGAUGAAAGCGGGGGACCUUCGGGCCUCGCGCGAUUGGAGCGGCCGAUGGCAGAUUAGGUAGUUGGUGGGAUAAAAGCUUACCAAGCCGACGAUCUGUAGCUGGUCUGAGAGGACGACCAGCCACACUGGGACUGAGACACGGCCCAGACUCCUACGGGAGGCAGCAGUGGGGAAUUUUGGACAAUGGGCGAAAGCCUGAUCCAGCAAUGCCGCGUGCAGGAUGAAGGCCUUCGGGUUGUAAACUGCUUUUGUACGGAACGAAAAAGCUCCUUCUAAUACAGGGGGCCCAUGACGGUACCGUAAGAAUAAGCACCGGCUAACUACGUGCCAGCAGCCGCGGUAAUACGUAGGGUGCGAGCGUUAAUCGGAAUUACUGGGCGUAAAGCGUGCGCAGGCGGUUAUGUAAGACAGAUGUGAAAUCCCCGGGCUCAACCUGGGAACUGCAUUUGUGACUGCAUGGCUAGAGUACGGUAGAGGGGGAUGGAAUUCCGCGUGUAGCAGUGAAAUGCGUAGAUUUGCGGAGGAACACCGAUGGCGAAGGCAAUCCCCUGGACCUGUACUGACGCUCAUGCACGAAAGCGUGGGGAGCAAACGGAUUAGAUACCCUGGUAGUCCACGCCCUAAACGAUGUCACUGGUUGUUGGGAAUUAGUUUCUCCAGUAACGAGCUAACGCGUGAGUUGACCGCCUGGGGAAUAACGCCCAGGUGGAACUCCAGGGAUUGACGGGGACCCGCCCAACGGUGGAUAUAUGUGGUUUAUUUCGUGGCCACCGCGAAACUUACCCCUUUGUNCUUGGCGGAGAGUUUCCAANAAUGGAUCNUGUGNNCCAAAGAACUUGCACAAGGUGUNCUGAGGGGUGUGUCCCACCCNCUGNCUCGGAGAGUUGGGUGUAUUCCCNACCGGCCACCUNGCUUUAUUUGCAUCNNUNNNACCUAAGGAGGUCNNGUCCANCGGNANNGUGNGUAAUCUGACCUCCGCUAGNCAACCCUUCACAGGUGUGUGCGAAGGUCNC